rnacentral:rRNA from 1 species
UACGUAGGGGGCAAGCGUUGUCCGGAUUUAUUGGGCGUAAAGAGCGUGUAGGCGGCCGCACAGGUCCGUUGUGAAAACUGGAGGCUUAACCUUCAGACGUCGAUGGAAACCGUGCGGCUAGAGUCCGGAAGAGGAGAAUGGAAUUCCUGGUGUAGCGGUGAAAUGCGCAGAUAUCAGGAGGAACACCGGUGGCGAAGGCGGCUUGCUGGGCCAGUUCUGACGCUGAGGCACGAAAGCGUGGGGAGCAAACAGG